AUUGAACGCUGGCGGCAGGCCUAACACAUGCAAGUCGAGCGAGCGGCGGACGGGUGAGUAAUGUAUGGGAAACUGCCUGAUGGAGGGGGAUAACUACUGGAAACGGUAGCUAAUACCGCAUACCAUCAGAUGUGCCCAGAUGGGAUUAGCUAGUAGGUGGGGUAACGGCUCACCUAGGCGACGAUCCCUAGCUGGUCUUAGAGGACGACCAGCCAACCUGGAACUGAGACACUGUCAAGACUCGUACGGGAGGCAGCAGUGAGGAAUAUUGCACAAUGGGAGCAAGCCUGAUGCAGCCAUGCCGCGUGUGUGAAGAAGGCCUUAGGGUUGUAAAGCACUUUCAGCGUGGAGGCGUUACCCGCAGAAGAAGCACCGGCUAACUCCGUGCCAGCAGCCGCGGUAAUUC
rnacentral:rRNA from 1 species